rnacentral:sRNA from 1 species
GAGGUGAACCAGGAAAUAGUGUUCUACCGAGGUGAACCAGGAAAUAGUGUUCUACUAGAUGAACCAGUAAAUAGUGCUCUACAAGAUGAACCAGGAAAUAGUGCUCUAUGAGAUGAAACAGGAAUUAGUGCUCUACUAGAUGAAUCAGGAAAUAGUGCUCUGCGAGGUGAACCAG